UGAGAUUCUAUCUCAAAACAAGAAAUAAAAGUAGGUUUAUCUAUCAGUUAGCAUUGUCAAUUUAACACAGCUUAGCCGUCUGAAAAGAGAUUCUUUUUCACUUGAGGGAUUGUCUAGGUUAGAUUGGCCUGUGGAGGAUUGUCUCGAUUGUUAAUGGGUGCAGGAGAGCCUGGCCCACUAUGGGCAGCAACAUUCCCUAGGCAGGUGGUCUGGGUUGUAUAGGAAAACUAAGCACAAACCUGUAUCUUACCAGGGAUUGCUCACUAGCCAGUCUAGAGCCGACAUAGUGAGUCCUAGAAUCAGUCAGAGACUGUCUCAAAAAAAUACAGCGAAGAGAAAAAGAGUAAAAGAACCAUAUUGACCUGUGGCUCACACACACACACACACACACACACACACACACACACACACACACUUAACUAUAGCAUGUUGGUCAAAGGGAUCAGAAAACUAAAUGAAGAGAUAAUCACAGCGGUAAGGAUGUCUUUGAGGUUCUCUAUUGGAACAUAAUCAUUUGGUGGCUUUCUGACUUCACAUUCCAUUCCCUCACAUGCUGUUCUAGUUUCCUUCCUGUUGCUGAGCAAGCAGCAUCGGGGAGGGAAGGGAUUACAUGGCUCACGCUUCAGGUCACAGUCCAUCACUGAGGGAUGUCAGGGAGUAUGGAGCAGAAACCAUGGAAGAAGGCUACUUGCUUUCCUCACUCCUGUGUCCUAGCAUCUAGACCCAACUGUCCUUCCCAUCCAUCCCCAGUCUGUACAGUCCGGCUCAGCACUCUAGUAUCUCUAGGAGUUGCCAGCUGAAGAGAAAAACCACAAAAUGGUUUGCCCUGAAGCCUUUUCUGAUGUGUGGUCAAGAGUGCGCUGCAGCCUUUCUCCGCCCCUACUACCCUCCCCAUCCCCUGAAUAAACUCUAUUCUAUACUAAG
ensembl:lncRNA